rnacentral:tRNA from 1 species
AAGGAUUUAAGUUAAAUAAACUAUUAACCUUCAAAGUUAAAAUUACUUAAAUUAAAAAGUAAGCCUUA